UACGUAGGGUGCAAGCGUUAAUCGGAAUUACUGGGCGUAAAGCGUGCGCAGGCGGUGAUGUAAGGCAGGUGUGAAAACUCCAGGCUCAACCUGGAGACGCCACCUCAUACUGCGGUGGCUAGAGUCCGGUAGGGGAGCAUGGAAUUCCUGGUGUAGCGGUGAAAUGCGCAGAUAUCAGGAGGAACACCAGUGGCGAAGGCGGUGCUCUGGGCCGGUACUGACGCUGAGGAGCGAAAGCAUGGGGAGCGAACAGG
rnacentral:rRNA from 1 species